AGAGUUUGAUCCUGGCUCAGGAUGAACGCUAGCGGCAGGCUUAAUACAUGCAAGUCGAGGGGCAGCAUGAGUGUAGCAAUACAUUUGAUGGCGACCGGCAAACGGGUGCGGUACACGUACACAACCUUCAUGUAACUGGGGAAUAACCCGGAGAAAUUCGGAUUAAUACCCCAUAGCAUAAUGAAGUGGCAUCACUUUGUUAUUAAAGAUUUAUUGGUUACAGAUGGGUGUGCGUAUGAUUAGCUAGUUGGUGCAGGUAACGGCUCACCAAGGCGACGACCAUUAACUGGUGUGAGAGCACGUUCAGUUACAGGGGCACUAGACACGGGCCCGACUCCUACGGGAGGCAGCAAUAAGGAAUAUUGGUCAAUGGACGCAAGUCAAAACCAGCCAUGCCGCGUGAAGGAUGAAGGUCCUCUGGAUAAAGAGGUUCUUUUAUAGGGGAAGUAAUGCAUUUUUUCUAAAAGUGUUGACGGUCCCUUAGGAAAACCCCCAACUU
rnacentral:rRNA from 1 species